CGAAGGGAACUAGCGUUGUUCGGAAUCACUGGGCGUAAAGCGCGCGUAGGCGGCUUAACAAGUCAGAGGUGAAAUGCCGGGGCUUAACCCCGGAACUGCCUUUGAAACUGUUAAGCUGGAGUAUUGGAGGGGGAGUGCGGAAUUCCUAAUGUAGAGGUGAAAUUCGUAGAUAUUAGGAGGAACACCGGUGGCGAAGGCGGCACUCUGGACAAUUACUGACGCUGAGGCGCGAAAGCGUGGGGAUCAAACAGGAUUAGAUACCUGGUAGUCCACGCUGUAAACGAUGGAUGCUAGCCGUUGGAUUCUUAGAAUUCAGUGGCGUAGCUAACGCGUUAAGCAUCCCGCCUGGGGAGGUACGGUCGCAAGAUUA
rnacentral:rRNA from 1 species